AAGCCUUCUUUUGUUAUUUAAAAAAGUUCAGGGUGAAAAAUGUCAUUAGCAAAGAAAAAUAAGGCAGAUGUCCGCUCAUGUAUUGCCUCUUGGACAAAGGAAUAUGGAUUGUUUUACUCAAGGACCGGUCUGUUUGCGCUCUCUGUUGUAAAACUGUUGUUUGUCGGACAUCAAGUGUAUGGCGUCAUUUUGAAACGAGACAUGAGAAAAACUUCAAGGAUGAGGCGGUUAAGGCUGAAGGAAUCAAGAGGGCCGUGUCCUGGUCGAUGCUAGAGAUGAGCCAGCUGUCAGAGGCGGUCUGGGUGUUCCACAGUGUCCAGUCGAAGCUCUCUCCCUCCCUACGCAGCUGGACCUGCAGGGAGCCCGAGACGGAGAGUUGGUACAUCAGCCUGAGACAGCUCCAGUCCUCUUGCUCCAUGGCCGGGCUCAGCAGAACCCCCCUGCCCUCACCCUCGGACCUUUCCUCUCCCUCUGGCCUCUUCUCCUGUCUAUUCUGGUACUCCUGGCCUGGAUCCAUUGAGAUACAAUACCCUGAGAAGACAGAGGCAGUUUGAAUAGAGGUACUAUGAAAACACACACAGAGAGAGAGAGAGAGAGUAUAACAGAAUCUACUUCAUCUAUUGUCAAUUGACCUUAUUUCAAAAGAUGCCAAGGGCGACAGUGGCAGGGAAGGAUGGAUAGAAAAAAAGAUGAGAGGAAUCAGAUGAUGAAGAUGAAGGAUGGGAGAAGUAAAAGACAAACACAGGAGGAGACAUUCUGUUUGCUCAGCGAACAACAGUUUGUGUCCCUGUCUCAGGGCAAAACAGAAUCAUUUACAGAGCAAUGAUGAUUACAUGGUUGCCAUAGAAUUUCACCUGCUUUCUUAUGUGUCCUUUCAUCAUUCUGCUUAAGUGAUGAUGGACUUAUCUGGGUUAUAAAUAUGUAUCUAGGACUCUUCAGAAUAGUACCACCUCAUAGAGCUGUGAAUGCCUAAAUGUGCUAUUUCACUGUCUCCAGAUGUGCUCUGAUGUUGGAAACAAUGCAUUCCAGAUGUAUCUCUCUUGCUAUUGUCCCUCUCCUUUCCAUCAGAACAACUGCAGAAACCACAUCAACAAGUACAACAACUAGUACAACAACUACUAUAGGCACUAGAACAUACAAAUAUUUGUAAUAAGCCCCAAUAAUCUUUGCUGCAUAGAAGAGGUCACUGUCUUCUUGUGUUUUCCACACACAACAGGUUACCAUGCAUUUCAAGCACUUCAAAGGGUAUAAGCUACUGUAUUAUAGGCACUUGUCAGUGUAAUUUAAAGGAUAUAGGCUUCAACCUUU